UUCCUGCCUAAAACCUUUAAGGUUCUAGGGUUUCCUCUUACAUUAAACCAAGACCUCGUUAGCCCUUUGAGCCUGUAUUUGAUUCACCAAACCAAUGCCCUGAUAUUUGAUUAUGACCUCGAAAAUCAGUAAGGCAAGGUGGUCAGGAUUGUGUCAUAUUGGAAGGAGUUAGGUGGCACAGCUUACCCCAACUUUCCAGGGUGGAAGAACUGAUUCUUGGGGAGAAAUCAAGAAUGUUAAGGUCCCUGCAAAUGUCCAAGUCUCUCCCUGUUUUAAGACUUACUUUAAUAGAGUAUUUCAUUGCCACUUUAUGGACUAUAACAAUAAUGAAGUAAUAUUUUUUUUCAUUCAACAUUUGCCAGAUUUUCUUUCCAUUUAUAACAAUUCCAUCCGCAGGAGUCUCCUGGUUUGGAAUGUUUGCCUUGCUUUGAUAAUCUAUCCUGAAAAAAAGAAUUGAAAAACAUGGGGUGAAGGGAUCUUCCGCUAGAAAAUUAACUAUUUGAACUCUUACAGGAGUUGAAAUGCCAUUGAUGCUCUGGAAAAAUGAUCGUGAAAUUCUGAUGGAAGGAAUUGAUGGACAGGCAGUAUUCUACAACUUCAUCACAAAAGAAAUCAAGAAUCUUCAAAUUUAUGGGG
rnacentral:lncRNA from 1 species